UUGGAGGGCAAGUCUGGUGCCAGCAGCCGCGGUAAUUCCAGCUCCAAUAGCGUAUAUUAAAGUUGUUGCAGUUAAAAAGCUCGUAGUUGAAUUUCGGGAUCAAUUUGCCGGUCGAGACCUCUGGUACGUACUUGUAUUAUUGAUUUCUUUUUAUUCUGAUAAAUCAUGGAUGUCAUUAAUUUGAUGACUAUGAGGAAUCGAAACUUUUACUUUGAAAAAAUUAGAGUGUUUAAAGCAGGCUUAUUAGGCUUGAAUACAUUAGCAUGGAAUAAUGAAAUAGGACGAUUAAUUCUAUUUUUGUUGGUUUCUAGGAUUAAACGUAAUGAUUAAUAGGGAUAGUUGGGGGCAUUAGUAUUCAACUGUCAGAGGUGAAAUUCUUGGAUUUAUUGAAGACUAACUACUGCGAAAGCAUUUGCCAAGGAUGUUUUCAUUAAUCAAGAACGAAAGUUAGGGGAUCGAAGACGAUCAGAUACCGUCGUAGUCUUAACCAUAAACUAUGCCGACUAGGGAUCGGAUGAUGUUAAUUUUUUUUAAUGACUCAUUCGGCGCCUUACGGGAAAC
rnacentral:rRNA from 1 species